UACGUAGGGUGCGAGCGUUAAUCGGAAUUACUGGGCGUAAAGCGUGCGCAGGCGGUUGUGUAAGCCAGACGUGAAAUCCCCGGGCUUAACCUGGGAAUGGCGUUUGGGAAUGCACGGCUGGAGUAUGGCAGAGGGGACUAGAAUUCCUGGUGUAGCAGUGAAAUGCGUAGAUAUCAGGAGGAAUACCGAUGGCGAAGGCAGGUCCCUGGGCUGAUACUGACGCUCAUGCACGAAAGAGUGGGGAGCAAACAGG
rnacentral:rRNA from 1 species